rnacentral:rRNA from 1 species
ACUGCUCAGUAACACGUAGCUAACNUACCCUUAAGUCAAGGAUAACCCCGGGAAACUGAGGAUAAUACUUGAUAGAAGUAAUACCCUGGAAAGAUUUUACUUUCAAACUCGUGCUUAAGGAUGGGGCUGCGGCGGAUUAGGUAGUUGGCGGGGUAAAGGCCCACCAAGCCAAUGAUCCGUAAGGGCUCUUAGCGGAGAAGCCCUGAGAGGGAAUCUGAGAUACUAUUCCCAGCCCUACGGGGUGCAGCAGGUAGGAAUCUUUUGCAAUGCGCGCAAGCGUGACAAAGCGAGCCAGAGUGCUUUUCAAUUGAAAAGCUUUUGCCAAAUCUAAAAAGUUUGGCGAAUAAGGACUGGGCAAGACUAGUGCCAGCCGCCGCGGUAAUACUAGCGGUCCAAGUCGCAGCCAUCAUUAUUGGGUCUAAAAUAUCCGUAGCUUGCUUAAUAAGUUCCCUGUGAAAUCUCAUCUCUUAAGGAUGAGGCGUGCAGGGAAUACUGCUAAGCUAGAGACUGGAAGACGUAGAAAGUACGUUCAAAGUAGCGGUAAAAUGUGUUAAUCUUGAACGGACUCACAAUAGCGAAGGCAUUCUACGAGGACAGUUCUGACAGUAAAGGAUGAAGGCUAGGGGCGCAAAAUGGAUUAGAUACCCAUGUAGUCCUAGCAGUAAACACUGCAUACUAAACAUUAGUACCUCUUCGAGAGGUAUUAGUGCUGAAGGGAAGCCGAAGAGUAUGCUACCUGGGAAGUAUAGCCGCAAGGCCGAAACUUAAAGGAAUUGGCGGGGGAGCAC